rnacentral:tRNA from 1 species
GCAUUUCUUACAUUGUGGGGAGCCAUAUUGAGUUACCAUGCCUUCCACUCCUGAUGCACAAUGGGGAUAUGAAAGAUCACUGUAGUCUGGCACAGUAGUGACAUAACUUGUGACUCGGUCUUUUCCCUGGCUCGGAUAGCAUGGCCAGUUUUCUGAGUAGGCAUACCCCUGGGGUUGAGCUACACUCACCUAUUUUUUUGCAAUACUCCCUUUUGCCCUGUUUAGGAUAGAAUGUUCCAUGGAAACAACCUUUGUGUGUCUCCUUCUCUUCCUCUGCCUUUGGUUUAGCCUUCCUGAUGCUAGUCAGUCUGCUGAUAGCAUUCAUCAAAAAGCUACACUCAACCCCCCCAAACCUGACCCCUUGUCUCAUUUGAAUGACUUCUCCCCAAUAAAAGGGUUCAGCACAUUCUCUCUCUCUCUCUCUCUCUCUCUCUCUCUCUCUCUCUCUCUCUCUCCCCUUUUCACGAACCCCUAAGGUCAGAGGAGCCAUCACAGGACCCAAAGAAAAAUGUAUUAUUUUGUGCAACCCAGUUCACCUGGAGUGACCUUAAGUGUUUUAGUCAUGGGACACAACAACUGAUGGCCCUUACAGACACUCCAGUGUAAAUUUUAGAAAUUUAGUGGGUUUAGAAUUUCUUUCCAGAAGUUAAGCAUGCUUAGGAUUGCAGAGUGUUGUAGGCUGAAUUGUAGAAAGUAAGUAAAUUAGAAAAAAAAAAUCUGUAACGUUAAAACUUUUUAAUAUUUGGGAAUAUUUUUCUUUAGAAAAAAAACUAUUUUUAUAAUUCUAGAGACCUUAAAUAAAUGUAAAGAAUUAUUAAGAUAAUUAAUGGGAUAUGUUGUUAAGUUAGGUCCUCUCCCAUGGGAAAAGCGCUUUUGGGUAUUUAUUUGGAUUGUUUUUGUGAAUCUUUAUAUUUUAAGAUAUUAGGUAAAGAUUUUGGGGGUUUAUGUACUAAAAGUCUGCACUUGGAGACUGAGAUAAAGGGAAGAAAAAUUUUGUGAUGAGACUUAAUACAGGGAUUCUUUACCUGUAGAGAAGUGAAUUUUAUGUUUCUACCAUUUUCGUGAAUACUCAGUUUAUACUGAACCUCUUCACCACAUUCUUGUCAUACUAGAUCAGAAUGGCAGUAUGGGGUCUGUAACUAGACCCUUUUAACCCUUAAAUAACCUGGCCUGGGUGCCAAACACAGACUGUUUUAAGAUCUGAUAGUAACAUUGGCAUCUACAUUAAAACUCACUUUUAAAGUACCCACAUGCUGUAAAAAUGGGAGCUCAUAACCCACUUGAAUCAAAGUGUGAAAUAUGAUAUAUCAAGAACUAUGUCAUGUUUUGAACAACCAACAAUAAAAAAUUAAAAAAAAAAUAAAUAAAUAAAGUACCCACAUGCUGCAAGGGAAAGUACACAAGACAGGAGAACACCUGCGUGAGGGGAGGAUACAGGGAAAUGUCCAUUAACUGCAAGAGUGCGAACACCAGCACAGAUCACAAAGACAUGACAAGCCACUACCUGCCCAUAGGAUCCUGCUCAGGUCGGGGAAAAUGCAGACAAAUCAAAUGGAGUACAAUCCGCUAGGGAAACUCCAGGAGCCUUUGCCCUGACACUGAGCAGCUGGCUCCAUGCUGUUUCCAUCACCAUGGCUACUGCCUGAAGCCUGGCCAGCCUAGCAGGCUUCCUGGUCCUGCCUCCCGCAUUUUCAUGGGCUUCUGAUUGGUUUUUCCACCUUUACUCAGACAGAACUUCUGCUCCCACCUUCCAGCCACUAACCUGUACUUCCUGUUUCAUCCUUGCUACCAGGACCUACAGAACCAACAUUUUUAAAAAUGCCCACUUGUAAAAAGGUAUCUUUUUGAGGCAAAAUCUAAUUCCACAGGUUUCUAUGUUGCGGCCCUAAAUUUAAGUUAUUUUUGAGUUAAAUAACCUGACUUUUCUCUAUGGUUAUGUUACUAAGUAAUGCUAUUGAUGGGAGGUAUCUAACAUAUGCUUCUUUAUAUUUUGCUUUUAAUUUUGAAGGUUAUGAGGAUACAUUUGCUUGUCACAGGAACAAAAACCAGCAAUGUUCCUGAAAUCAAGAAAGCCUGGGGCUGGGGUUGUGGCUCAGCGGUAGAGUGCUCACCUUGCAUGUGUGAGAUCCUGGGUUCAAUCCUCAGCACCACAUAAAAAUAAAUAAACAAAAUAAAGAUAUUGUGCCCAUGUAUAAAUAACACAAAUAUUUUUUUAAAAAAGAAAUCCUUAUUCUCAUUCCUGACCAUAUAGUUACAAAAAAAAAAAGAAUAAAAUACACAUAAGGAUCUUACAUCAGCUACACUAGUUAAAAAUAAAUUGAAGUGAAUCCAAAUACCUUAAGAACCACAUGGUUACAUAAAGUUAAUACAAUUAUAAGUUAUGCCCUUCUACAGGAAUAUCCAAGGACUUUAUAUUUUCAUUAAGAUAUUUCUUCUUAUCAAUAUACAAAAAUUUGUUUAGACUCUAAGGUUUUCAUAAAUUAUUCCAAAGUAUAACCAGGAAAAAUUCUAAAAGGAAAAGAAAAAAGAUACAUUCACAGAGAGGAAGCACACAUUGGAGGCCCUAAGAAGGAGAAAGUAAUCAUCUGGGUAAAACAAGGUCUUUAUAUUCUAGAUUUUAAUGAUGAAAGUAUUUUCCUAAAUAAAAGGAUCUUUAUAUCACUAUCUGGACAGAUGAUAUAAAAGUUAAAACAAUUGAGAAAAAGAUUUAUAUGUACUGGACUGACUAUAAAAAUUUUAACUGACUAACUCAAGGAUAUUUCAGGCUAUUUCCCUGAUUUAACUAUGCUGAUGUGAGCUAAGAUUUUGUCCCUAUUUUGACAUGAUAAAGAUCUAUUAAAAUGUUAAGUUUAUUUCCUUUAAGGAAGGUCUUUAUUGCCUAAUGAUUCUUACUGUUGAGGCAAGAUUAAUUUUGGUGAAAAAAAUUCACAUCCUUGAUUAAACACUAAAUAUAUUAAACUGCUGACUUAGAUUCCAAUUUUGACAAUUCUCCUUGGAAACUAAAUUUGAUUGAUUCAAAUACACUGCUGAUUCUUGUAUAUUACUUUUGUCUAUUGAAUAGUUGUGAGAUUUGAGAGAAUAUUUUAUUAAGAUUGAGGUUCUCCAAAUUAAAGUCAUAUGUUAGUUUUGAACAACAAAAAUUACAAACCUUGUUGGAAAUUCAUUGGUAUUAUAUAAGUUCUUUAACUGGACCUAUUAUCCAUAAAAAAAUAUGGUAAGAUGUAUAUACUACUCCCUACACUGGAAAAUAACCUUAAUCAUAUUUUCUAAAAGACAAUUAAGAGACACCUAAUUAAAAGAUAAUAUUCUGAAACACAGAUAUUUUGAGACCUUCUCUCAGAAAGAAAUUGAGGGUUUUUUCUAAAUUGUUAGAAUAAAUUAACUAGUCUAUAUAUUGGGAAAUUACAAUAAUCAGUAAAAGAUAUUUCAUUUUUAUACCUAGCCUUACUUACUACUAACAGAAAAGGACUUUACUCAAUUUUAUUAAAUAAAGAAAGGGGUGGGGUGGGGGAAAACAGGACCUGACAGACACAUGCUAGAUCUUACAAAUAUUUCAAAAUUUUCUUAAAUUGUAAUAUUGAUAUUGAGCC